CUGAUUCCAUAAACAUAUCUUAGUUUUUGAUCGCCUGAAUCCAACAUAAUUAUCUUGAUUUCACCAUAAAUAUACAAGUUAUAUUCUUAUAUUAAAGACAAUUUGUUAUUAAAAACAACUUCAGUCCUCAUCAACCAUGCAUACUGACAAAACUGCAGCAACCAUCGCCGUAAGCCACCUGUCUUUCUAAAACAAGCUACAGUUCAUUCGCAUAAUUUUAUUCGGGAUCACAAACCAUUUGCUUCUUUAUUGCUUCUAGUGUUCUUAAUUUCCAGAAAAUUUGCAGUACAUAAUUAUUAACAUUAAUAUAAGUCGGUAAUUAGCCUCCAUUAAAAUGGUAGGCAGCAUGCGAGGGGGGGUUGGAAAAGGAGAAGGGUAGGUUGAGGCAGGGAAGCAUGCAGGGUGGUCUAAGGGUUUGGUUGUUGAAGUCCGUAAAUCUAACCCUCAUGCGCCUUCACGAGAAAAUCAUAACACAUUUCACCUCCAAUUUUCCUGGGGUUUCUUCUUUUUCUAUUUAUAACCGGUUGCAACUCAAAUAUAAUCUUUGGCUGCUUUCUGAUUUUUGUAUAUUACCAUCUUUCCAUGCAUUUUCCCCUCCCACUAGGAAAAUAGUUGUAACUUGGUAUUGAUAGGAGAGGUCCGAUGCUUAUCAGUACAGCUCCGACGAUCGGCGGAAACAGCAUUGAUAGAAAGCUUCAUUUCUCCAGGUUAGUUUGAUAGGCAAUCUCACACACCCAUAUACAAUUCCUUGUAUGCUUUUUUCCUUUGAAAAUAAAUGUUAUGGUGAUAGUGAAAAGCUCGCUCUUAAUUUGUAUAUCCUCAACUUUCUAACUUUUAUCAUAUAUAAUUCUUUUCCAUUUAGACUAUUUAUUUUGCUACUGUGAAUAGUUCUUAUUAUAAUAUAAAGAAAAAAUCACAAUGCCAAUAAUUUUCAUAUAUAUGUGUGCAUUUUUUUAUCUUAUUUAUCUAAUGGUUUAUGAUUAUUCUAUCAACAUAUUUUUUAGGAAAAUGUUAAUAAGUUUGCAGUGAUAUUUAAAGAAAUAAAGUACCAUUGUGAUAUUGCACCACUAUUAGUAAUUUUUUAUUGCAUUCAGUACUAAAAGUAAUUAAAUGCAAAAUAUAUAUAUAUAAAAUAAUAAUAUUUUCAUUUGUCAAAAAAUCUCUUGAGAACGUACCAAUAAUAAGAUGGGUGUAUGUUUGAUACCUAAGUAGAUUUGUUGAGAAAAACCUUUUGUGGAAGAAGCUUGGAGCUCUUUUUCCCUGCUGGAGCGGGCGGCUACCGGUUGGCCGUCGCUCACACUUCCUUUCAGUUUUUCCGACCCCUUUCACUAUUCUAUAGAAUUGAAAAAUAUUAUGGAUUUAUGCAUAAACUAUGUACGAAAUCUUAAAAAUUCCAAAAAACGUGUCGUAGGGCUAUCACAUUAAACCCCAAGCCCAAAAAGGUCCACAUGGAAGUAACCAAGUAUCGGAUGAAUAGAUGUCCACAAAAAUGGUGGGGCAUUGGGCAUGCAUGUAUGCCGCCCACCUACUUCUUAAAAUUCACCUGCCAGUCUUGCCUUCUCCACCCACCUAACCUACUACACUUGUGGUCGUAUUGCUACCUUUAGUGUUUGCUUUGGUCCUCGUCAUCACUAGCUGCUUCAAUUUUAAACUUGUCAUUUUUUUUUCUAAAUAAAAUUACAUAUACAUAUCAAGAUUAUGGUUACGAAACGAUUUCUAAAAUUUUAAAAUAUAUAUCAAGUUUAAAUCUUGUCAAUAUUUAAAUUUAAUUUAAUUUUAUAUUAAUUUUUUAAUUAUUUAUUAACUUAUUAAUUGAUUCAUUUGCUAGAUUUAAUUUACUGUUUUUUAAUAGGAUGUAACUUGUCCUAGCUAUUAAAAUAUUUUAAACUAAAGGAAAAAAUCAAUUAAGCCAUUGAAAAAAAAAAAAAGAAAGUACUCAAUGAGCUCUUAAACAUUAGAUUUUCCAUUAAUUAAGCUUUUCUUAUUAUUAAAGUCAAUGGUCAAUUGUUAAAGACUAAUAACUACUAUUUUAUCUAUUUUUGGGUUAUUUUCACUAUGUGUACGUCAUGCUAAGAUUGUGCUAUGUGACAAAAUUGAUAUUUUCUAUUUAAAAUAAAAAAUAUAUAUAAAAAAUUAAAAAGUUAUAAAAAUAAAGAAAAUUGCAGAAAUAUAUUAAAAAAAUUCAAAUAACAAAAAAAAAUAUAAAUUACGAAAAAAAAAUUAUGAAAAAAAAUUAGAAACUCUAUAAAAUUAUUAAAAUUUACAAAAUACUAUAAAAAGCAUAGAAACUAUAAAAAAUAAAAAAUAUAUGAAAAAAAUUAUAAAAUCAUUUUUUAUUUACACACUAACCAUUGUUAACAGUACAAUACCUAUUAAAAAUUACAAAAAAAAUUAUUUAAUCCCGAAAGCUAUUUAUUGUGUUGAUCCAUCAUGGACCUCCCCAAAGUAGCAAGGGAGUUUUGAGAUGCAAAUUAAGGUUGGGAAAUGGGUUGAUAUGCCAAAUAAAAUGACAACAGAGACUAUAUAUAUAUAUAUAUCUUUAAAUUUAUCUAGUUCUUUUAAUUUUCUACUUUUUAAUAUUUUCAAUAACUUUUUAAUAUUGUUUUUACUUUUUUUUAUAAUUUUUUGUAAAUUUCAAUUAUUUUAAUUAUAAUUUUGUAUAAAUUAUUUUUAAUAAUUUUAAAUUGAAAAUAUCAAUUUUUGCCUUGGGGGAGUUUAACGUAUUUUUUUAUAUGGCGGAAACAUAAUUAUUAUGAUUAUGUAUGAAUUUGUUUGUUGAUGAAACAUGACACAAACAUGUUUUACUUUAUGUUCCGAGUCUUAAUUAUGUAGUGGUAAUUAGCCACAACUUGCCUUUUUUUUUUUUUUUUUUUUUUUUAUGAUUGGUUUGUCGGCAUACUUUAAGUAAAGGUACUAAAAAAAUAGUUGCCUUUCUCAUCCUUCCCUCCCUUCUCUUGCUUCCACGCAAGUAAAUUGAUACUCUUUCCUCUAAUGUUGUUUACUAUUUUUUUUUAAUUUAUUAAAAAUGCUAUAACAUAUAUUAAAUAAUUAAACAAAUAAAUCAAAGGCUGAGUAAAAAUCAAAUGGUUAAAUACAAGUUUAAGGGCUCAAUUCAACACAGCCUAUUAAUUUAAAGACUUUUUUAGAAUAUUAAAUAUUAAAAUAAUACUAUUAGAAAUUAUAUCUUUCUAUUAAUAAAAAGUGUAGUUACGGACACUAAUGUGACUAAUAAAAAUUUGCACAUGACAUAUCAUAUGGUAAAAUAUUUAAUUUUUAAAAAAAUUACACAUUAAAAAUGAAUUUAAAUAAAAGAAUGUCCAAAUUUAUAUAAAUCUGUACUAAAAUGAAUAUUAUUUGAUCAUUUUCAGUGAUUCAAAUAAUUGGAUAUUCACUAAAAUGUUUCAAAACAAAAAAUAAUAAUAAAUAAAUAAAAAGAGAUGUUGAUGUUGAUUUUCAUAAGAAAUAUAAAUACAAUGAGUAUAUAAAAGAAUUAAUUUUCAGUAACCGAAAGCUUAACAAAUUCAAUUGGUGGGUCUUUUAGGCUUAAUUUUUGGGUUUCAGUGAUGAUGCAUAUAAGGGUGGUGGUGGAGUGGCAUAAAGAGUGGCAGAGAUGAGAAGAUGAAUUUUCUUUUCCUCAAAGUAGAUGGAAAGUCAAAUUUGACUAUACAUAUUUGCCAUAAAUGACGCAUGAUAUUUUUUUUAUCCUAUCAUACAUGUAAUUGAUUAUUUUUACAUUAUUUUUAUAUAUUUUUUAAUUUACUUUUAUAAUUUUUAUAAUAUUCUUAACCAUAUUCAAAAUGAACUAAGAUAAAUGAAUUUAGACAUCUAUUUAUCUAGGUUUAUUUUUGAAUGUGCAUUUGUAUUAAUUUUUAAAAAAAUAUAUGCCCACGUAUUAUGUUAUAUGUCAACUUCUAUCAACCAAAUUAACAUUUAUUAAUAGUCAAAUCGAUCAAUCACAUAUUUCUAAUUAAAUUCUUCUAUCCCUUAAACUAUACAGUGUAUAUGUCUGUGGAUCAUUGCAAGAUGGCGGUAGCUAAUACCUAUAUAACAUUUUGAGUUUUCUCUACUCCUAACAGCUCUUUGAUAUUUGCUUGCAAAAUUUUGGGAAUCAACCAUGCAACUGGUUAGCGAAUGUCACCUUAUUAUUCUCCCCCAUCUUAUUCUAUACGGAUAUCUAAGCAGCUAAAUGACUACAAGAAAGGCAGAUUUUCAACGUCACUUUCUAAGUGAAAUGUCGCUAAGAGGGAGAACUCUUGUCUUUUAGAAUACAUGUCGAUUCUUCUUCCAAUCUUAAAGACUUAUGUAACGUUUGAACCAAAUUUUAAAAACCAUGAAUAUGCCCAAAUUACUCUUAGUUUUACAUAAUUUCCACUCUAAAACCAUGAAUGAUUUUGUGAAUUACAAAUUUUAAAAUUUUAUUUCUUAGAAAAAAAUAUAUUAAAAUUAAAAUAACUAAUAUCUUAAACAUUCAGAAAAACAUGAUUUCUCUCUCUCUCAAUUAAUCACCUCUAGAUUAUGGAAUAAAAGUUAAAAAAAGGAAACAAAAAGUAAUUAAUGCUAAUUUCGAUAACACAUAUAAAGAAAUUAUUUACAUGCAAAAUAACAUUAAAAAGAAAAAACUCAUUUCAUCCAAUAACUUAGUCUAUGCAUGAUAUAAUAAUGUUAACAUUGUGUAAUUUUGUAUGGAGCAUGCAUGAGUUCAAUUUAUUGUCUCCGCUAGCAUAUAGUUGGGAAAAUCUAAUACGUAGUUAUAUAUAUAUUUGAUAAAUCUUGAAUGAGCAAAUCAAUGUAAAAAAAUAUGUCCAACUUAAGACUUAAAUCGAUUCAUAAUAUAUUUGGAGUCUGAAUCUCAUUUACAAUAACAAUUAUAUAUUCUUAUUCCCAAGAUAUAACCCCUUUUAUAUAUAUUAAAAGGAACCAAACAUGUAGUAUCAUACAACAAAACAAUGGAGCAGUCUAUAGAUGGUGAGCUCCUCAAAAUAGAGUCUUUCACACAAUCUAGACAUUCUAUUUCUUUGUAUUAGUUGGAAUUUACACACACACACACACAUGCACAUUACGUAUACAUAUUACAUAUAUUCAGAGAGGGGGGAAGAAAUAGCAGUGGAAUAUUGAGCCAACUCAUAGGAAGUAAUACUCAACCUUUUGCUUCAAUAAUUUCAUUAAUUUCUGUAGGAAAUUACAGAUUUAGGGAUUGAUACAUUUUAAUAGACACUACGAAUAAAACUACAAACUUUCAUUGUAGGGGCAAGCAUACAAAUAAAAUGAGUACAAAACAGUAACACAACCGAGCAAUGAAAGAAAGAAAAAGGGAAAAUAAAUACAAACAAACGUAGAAAAUCAAAAAACAUCUAAUUUCAAUAUGCAUAUAAAUUUGCAGUUUGAUCUGCUAAAGUUGAUGCAGAUAAUGAUAAUGAUUGUUGAAAGAGUUUGGCUCAUUCCCAAAACCAACCAUUGCAGAUAUGAGUUCGGUUUCCCACAUGUCGCCAUGACACAAGUUCUGAGAAGAUUCUGCGGCUGCUGCCGCCGGUGCCACCAAAUUAUUAGGUUGCUGCUCUUCUGGGUGUUGAUUAACAAGCAAGUUUUCAUUAAUCAAUGAAUCUAGAAACGAGGAGAACAUAUCUUCAUUGCAAUUUUCCAUAUGAUCCCCUUCGUUUCCAUGGCUGCUUGGUUCCGCCAUGAUAAGAGUUGCACUUUCAGUAUUCUUCCAUUUCUCCAUGCUCUUAUCAACCUGUUGGUUUUGAGAUUGCUGCUGAUACCCAUGUUCCAGGUUAGUCGGUGUACCAUCUUUGGUAGUGUUUGUAGUUUUAAUUGUAAUGGUUUUUGAUGCUAAUACAGAAGGAUUAGGGAUAGGGGGGCUAGGGUUUGAUUUUGGAACAUGAUCAUGAUUAAUCUGUGGCGAUUUAUGGGUAAUAAGGUUCAAUGGUUUAUGGGUUCUUGGAUCUAUUCCUUGGCUGAUCAGCUUCUUGCUUAGAUGGGUAUUCCAGUAGUUCUUUAUUUCAUUAUCUGUACGCCCUGGAAUCCUACCAGCUAUCAGUGACCACCUGCAAGAUUCAAAAUGGAACAAGUAAGAACCCUAAAUAAGAGACUAUACAGUAUUUUAAAAAAAACCCUACAGAAAUGAACAAAAAAACCUUAAAUUUAGCUUCUUAUCAAUGAUUUUAAACAUGAUCCCCGAUGUAAUAACGUGUAAAACACAAAACCCAAACAAAAAUUCGAUCUAUUUCUGCACGUUCUUACCCUAAUCAUUAGAAAAAGCAGAGAAAACACUGUUUGUUGUUCAAUGUUGGAUAUAUAUGAAUUAAUAUUGAUAAUCUGGGUACCUGUUACCGAGCAGGCGAUGAAGGCGAAGAAUGAGAUCUUCUUCAUCGGGAGCAAUACGACCUCGUUUAACAGAGGGUCGGAGAUAAUUCAUCCACCGGAGACGACAACUCUUACCGCAUCGAAGCAAACCAGCUCGUUUAGGCAAAGUCCGCCAUCGUCCUU
rnacentral:lncRNA from 1 species